rnacentral:piRNA from 1 species
UGAAAUGACAUAAUUGCAUUCGCCUUCAUG